AUGUCUGGCACACCUGAGCAGGCCACGGGCAGCGGCUCUGUGGCCUCGCCAUGGGCCCCUCCCCUCUCUGUGCCCUCAUCUCUUGUUUCACCAGAAAGACCAAGUGCAAGACACACCGGGGCCCACCCUCCAGCCUGUGCGGCGAGCAGCCCCAGGAACAUCACCGAGCUUCAGAGUCCUUGUCUGCAACUUGGGGUGGCGACAGCUCGUGGGGCCGUGGCCAAGAGGACACUGAGGCCUGAGGGCUGCCUGGCCCCGCGUCUGGGAGGAGCGCAGGCCGGCUGGACCGUCUCAAUUUCUAACAGCUGCACAGUAUUCCCGGUGUGCACAAGAACACACGUCACGGAAAAAGAAGGCCACACGGGUGAGACUACUUUGCUGAGCUGUCAAGAGGAGUGGCCGGAAAUGGAGCCAACAGCAGCAGCAGCAGCAGCGACACAUGGGCUGGGGGCGUGGUCCCCACAGUAAACAGGACCAGACCUCAGGCAUGAGGAUAGGGGCAAAGCAGGCCCUGGCACGGCCCCAGCCACCCUCAACAUGGGGAAGGUGGAAGACAGACGGGGCACAGGUCCAGUUCAGGCCCGGACUACCAGCCUGUCCCGGGACAGCUGUGCUCACACACACAACGGCCCACUGGCUCUGCCUCAGGCUCUUGCCUAUUCCAGAGGCUCAGAUACAAAGGACCCAGGCUGGGGGUGAGGCUAGAGGUGAGGCAAGACCUCUCCACCCUGCUGGGAGGCUGUUGGCAACUAUGGACCGUGGAUGUUGUUCUAGCCCUUGCUCAAGGGACCAGAAGUGAGUCUAUCUUCCUCCAAGGACUGAGGAUUGAACAUAGGGAGUGUAAAACUGCCUCCCCAAUCCUUUCUAUUUUAUAUUAUUUUUUGAGCCAGGGUUUCAGUAAGUUGCUCAGGCUAGUGUCUAACUUGAGAUCCUCCUGCCUCAGCCUCUCAAGCAGCUGGGAUUACAGGUGUGGCCUACCAUCCCCAGCAAGGUGUUUUUGACUGUCUCUUCCCUAUUCCAGUUUACUUCCACCCACUUGGCAUUCAUGGAGCUCCAGGGUGGACAGGGCCAAUAGCAUUCCCCAGGGAAUGAUGGAGCUGGGCAAACCCAGAAGGACCACUGGGCACAGCAAGGGCAGCUAUCAUCACCUCCUGCACCCAGGGCAGGCAUGGCUAAUCGCUCACCGCACUCUCCCCACUGAGUCUAGACAUGCCCAGCCAAUCCUCUACAUGCCCUCUGCCCAGCCACU
rnacentral:lncRNA from 1 species